GACGAACGCUGGCGGCGUGCCUAAUACAUGCAAGUUGAGCGCUGAAGGUUGGUCCUUGUACCAACUGGAUGAGCAGCGAACGGGUGAGUAACGCGUGGGGAAUCUGCCUUUGAGCGGGGGACAACAUUUGGAAACGAAUGCUAAUACCGCAUAAAAACUUUAAACACAAGUUUUAAGUUUGAAAGAUGCAAUUGCAUCACUCAAAGAUGAUCCCGCGUUGUAUUAGCUAGUUGGUGAGGUAAAGGCUCACCAAGGCGAUGAUACAUAGCCGACCUGAGAGGGUGAUCGGCCACAUUGGGACUGAGACACGGCCCAAACUCCUACGGGAGGCAGCAGUAGGGGAUCUUCGGCAAUAGACGAAAGUCUGACCGAGCAACGCCGCGUGAGUGAAGAAGGUUUUCGGAUCGUAAAACUCUGUUGGUAGAGAAGAACGUUGGUGAGAGUGGAAAGCUCAUCAAGUGACGGUAACUACCCAGAAAGGGACGGCUAACUACGUG
rnacentral:rRNA from 1 species